CUCAUUGGUGCACUGUGACUUUUGCCCUUAUUUGGAAAUGUCAAGACUUCAAAUUGAAGGGAAAGUUCAGAUCAGGAGACAAGGUGUCACCUCAGCGUUUGGCUGUUUGUUGUUGCUGUUGUUCAAACAGGGAAAACAAAGAUGAAUGCACUCUGCUAAAAGGAACACUUUGUGACGGGGAUGGAGACAUGGAGAAAGGGAAGUAAAGGGGAUGGACGGCCAAGUGUGCGCGUCGCCAGGGGAACUCUGAUUCAUCACCCUGACCGCUGUAGUGACCUGCAGGUCGGAUUAUGAGAACUCACACGGCUGCCGACGGACAGGAAGGAAGUGAAACUGCGGCCUUUUACUUUUUAUAAAUAAAUAAAUCUUCAGAAUCAAAACGGUAUUUGGAAAAAGUUCAAUCAGGAAUCUGUGUUGUGCCUUUAUUUUAGAGACAGGAGAGUGGAGAGAGUCAGAAAAAAGGGAGAGAGAGAGGGGGGGGAUUGAACGAGGAGGUUUGAACGAGGAGACGCUGGUUCAGAGUCACCCUACUCUGUACCUUAACCAGAAAUAUAUCAUAUGGAUAGAGAUGCACCGAUCCACUUUUUUUCAGUUCCGAUCUGAUUCUGAUACAUAUGUAGUGACACUGAUAUUUUUAUUAUCAUGACUAAUCGUGUAGGUGUUGUUUGUGGUUUCAUGUGUGAGGCUACACAAAACUGUUUUAAACUGAAGAGUAAGAGUGUCUUCUUUUGAUGUUACAGAAGGAGCUGUUUCAUCUCGUCUGAGUGUCGUUAUGGAGACGACUUCUUACAGUUCAAUCUGAACGUCUUCGAAGUGAGACUGUGCGAGUUGAGGUUUAAGGUUUUAAGUGCCCGACCAUAUUUCUUGAUCCGAUACGUAAAAGACUUCAACAUCGGACUUGAUACCGACAUUAGAUCGAAUCGGUCCCAUCUUAAAAUAGGGAUGCGCAGAUGCAUCGGUUAAACAUGUAUCGGACAUGUAACAGACAUCAGCUCGACCCUUUAACACUUCACCUUGACUCUUGUCACCUACAAUCAGACUUCUCCUCUUUGACACUUUCUAUUAGGGAUGCUCCUGUUCAACAUUGGUAUCGUCUCUGUUGACAGACAGAUGUUUAUCAGUUAUGCCAAAUCAGUUUAAUGCUGACAUCUAGAACACCUGACUGCUGAUUGAGAUAGGACGUGUUUUAUCAGGCUGAUGAAGUCACCUGUCGAACAAACUCGGACUGGUUUUUAUCGUCAAGAAGUGGGAGAAAAUGUUGCAUUGUGGGAGUCUGACACCAAAAAGAAGUCAUGACACAAACAUCGGUAUCGGCCCUGAUAUUCCCUGUCGGUGCGUCUCUAAUCUGCAUUUAUAUAUUUUGCACGUGAGGCACGACACGGCUCGUCCUUCAGCUUCUGUUAUCUUCACAUUGUGCGACUCCGCUUCAUUGAAUGGUGAAUAAACAUGAGAGGUUUUUUUUAAUCUUCCUGCAAAGGAGAGUCAGAUAAUCAGAGAAACGAUCACACCACAGGAUCACCACAUCCCCGUCCUGCUCAGGGUGGAUCUAAACUUAUUUAUCAAACCAGGCUGGUCACAUUGAGAUCCAGAACCUGGUUUUAAAGGGAGGCAUGGCCGAGACAGUCAGCAGCACACACACAGAGUUACACACAGAGACACAAAGUCAAAAUCUUCUCUGAGAGUCAGAGAGACGUUCAAGCUGUCCAGUUUAAAGCAUCGCUAUCCUGCACAAUCUGCUUCCAGGUCAUUUAAUUUAGAUUUUAAAACAUUUAAGGACUCCGGCUCCUUGAGCUUUAAGUUGCUCUGCAACAGAUUCCAGGCUGAGGCCGCAGAAUACCCAGAAGCCCUUUCUCCAGUUAGUGUGCGAGCGUUAAUAACUCAUGUUCUCUAGUUCACAGAAAGUGUUUUCAUCUCUCUCCUUUUUAUCACCAAACUGAGAGCGAAUUAUUCAUGACCUCACCCCGCGCAGCAAAGUGUCAUUUAAGGUUAAAAAAAAGGAGCCAGUUUGUUUAAAGAGUCUAAGUAGACAAACUCGAGCAUUAGAAGAUGGUCAGAAUGUUCACAUGUAAGAGCGUUUUGUGUUACCCUGAUAUUUUGUGUCAUAACGAAGCUGUGUGCGGUUUGUAAAAGUUGCUGUUGCUGUCAGCGUUUAAAAAAAAAAAAAAAAGAAGCUUGAGCAGGAGGUGAAGCCGGAAGCCGAGAAGAGAAGCGGCUGUGACUGUUAGAGCGUUUCCUGUGGUUACGUCACGUGGCCGUGGAGGCCUUCAAAAGGAGACGACUUCUUCUUCUUCAGCCGCUCAGAGGACGCACAGAAGACACCUGCCAGGCUGCCGGGUGGACGCCGCUGACGAGGAGAGACACAGAGCGCUGACGUUUGGGUGAAGUAUCACGGCUGACAUCCAGUGGGUUUUAUGCUUUUACAUUGUUCUCUUGUUUUUUAUUUUUUUCUAAGAUGUCAGUCGAUGGUUGAUUUUUUUUUUUUUUUUAAGUUUUUUUUGCUUUAAAUUUGACUUCAUUAACUCUGAGUUUCCCUCAUUAAACUCCUGGUCAUAUUCUCGACCUCUCGAGACGUCUGUUUGGAAAUUAGGUGGAAAAAUGUUGAUUAUUUUUGUAGCUUUUGCUCUUUAAGUCUCACUGUCACGUCUUAAAUGCAUCUGUUCGAUAUUUGCGUUCAUUUGAAUCUGUCUUUGAUGUAAAACUCAACAAUCUGUCCUUCACAUCUGACUUUUUAAUGUGACGUCGAAAAUGUACAAACUGAUCCGUUUCUCCACAGAAAAGCUUACUCAUGGUCGCCAAAAUGGCUUCCUCAAGAUAGCGCUUCCUCUGUCACAUUUCCUUUCAGACUCAGCCUCAUAAAAGUGCACAGAGAGGGGGGGGAGGUGUUGAGUCCUCUGGGUGGGGUUUUGUCUCGUUUUUUAAAAGUGUUUUCUUAGAAUGGAACAAACCUGUCUGUUAAAACGGUGAAUGCAAAUGUUUAAAGACGAAUCAGGAAGUGUGUGUUUUCUGGGUGUAGUGCUGGGAGGUUUCAGUUCAGUGGGUUUUUGGGUUGGGGGAGGGGUGGGGGGUGUGUUGCAGGUGCAGAAGAAGAAGAAAGAAGUCGGACGAGGAGCGCUGGAUGUACAGUGCAGUCAUCCAUAAAGUAGAAAGCACUACUAAACUCCUCACCAAAGUGUAGUGUUUCCUACUUUAUGGAUGAGUGUACUGUUUUCUUCAGGGAGAGGAAGAACCCGGACGUGGAGCCUGCUGCGCACGCAGUCUAAAAGGAGGAAGCUGCUUUGUCUCACGAGGCCGCACGCCACCCACAGUGUUGCCCCAGUCUGUCCACGUAGGCGGUGUGUGGCAUGGAGCACAGAUCACAGCGCCUUCUCACGCUUUUAUCACAAGUUGAUCUUUGUUGAAAUGUCCUGAGAAAGAGAGAGACGAUGCAGUGUGUGUGUGUGGUUUUAAAUAAAGAUUAAAGAUUGAAAAAGCA